rnacentral:piRNA from 1 species
GGCCGGAUUUAGGAAACCACCUUCAGAGUGU